UACGUAGGGUGCGAGCGUUAAUCGGAAUUACUGGGCGUAAAGCGUGCGCAGGCGGUUUUUUAAGCCAGAUGUGAAAUCCCCGGGCUUAACCUGGGAAUGGCAUUUGGGACUGCAAAGCUUGAGUGCGGCAGAGGGGACUGGAAUUCCUGGUGUAGCAGUGAAAUGCGUAGAGAUCAGGAGGAAUACCGAUGGCGAAGGCAGGUCCCUGGGCUGACACUGACGCUCAUGCACGAAAGCGUGGGGAGCAAACAGG
rnacentral:rRNA from 1 species